AGCAGUUGAGAUUGAAAUCGAAAUAUAAAAACAUGCAAACUGUGAAUUUUGAAUAAUAGUUUGGCUCUAAUGUUUGGUGUUUGCUAUUAUUCUUUUUUUCCAAUAUUAGACGUUUCUUGAAUAGUAAACACUGAAAGGGUUGAUGCAGUUUUUCUCUAGGAGUUUUCCACAAAUGCCAAUAUGUCAGAAAACGACUGUAUUCUUAGAGACAACCUACCCAUCAUCAUCAAACCAACUGGACUGAAUCACAGUGAGAUCCUUUGCAGUUCUAACAUCAAAGCCGUCUUGCUAGCAGGGGGGCUAAAGAUGCUGGAACGAAGGAGGCCGACGCAUCAGAAAGCCUUGGAUGUUUUUCCUCUUCGCCCCGCCACGUUCGCAGAGGCAGCAGCAAUGAGCAGAUAACCAUGCAGAGUGCAGCUUUUUUGUUGGACUAUCUUUUCCUGCGUGGAUCCCACAGAAGCCCGUUAUCGCCGACCCUCAGAGCC